rnacentral:rRNA from 1 species
UUGGAGGGCAAGUCUGGUGCCAGCAGCCACGGUAAUUCAGCUCCAAUAGUGUAUAUUAAAGUUGUUGCAGUUAAAAAGCUCGUAGUUGAAUUUUGGGGUUCUACCGUUGGUCGGGCAAUAGUCUGUACUAGUGUGUGGAAUUUCUACCUUCUGGGGACCAUCAUGUUAUUAAUUUAGCGUGGUGGGAAACCAGGACCUUUACCUUGAAAAAAUUAGAGUGUUCAAAGCAGGCUUACAUCUGAAUACAUUAGCAUGGAAUAAUAAAAUAGGACGGUGGUCCUGUUUUGUUGGUUUCUGAAUCACUGUAAUGAUUAAUAGGGAUAGUUGGGGGCAUUAGUAUUAAAUUGUCAGAGGUGAAAUUAUUGGAUUUAUUGAAGCUAACUUCUGCGAAAGCAUUUGCCAAGGAUGUUUUCAUUAAUCAAGAACGAAAGUUAGGGGAUCGAAGAUAAUCAGAUACCGUUGUAGUCUUAACCAUAAACUAUGCCGACUAGGGAUCGGGAUGAUGUUAAUUUUUCUUGACUCGUUCGGCGCCUUACGGGAAAC